rnacentral:lncRNA from 1 species
GUUCAAACUACAGUGCAUACAUACAUACAUACAUUUUUACAAUACAUAAGUGAUUGACCUAUGGCUUUGUCAUACUAUUGAUAUUUUUCGAAUAAGACAUUGUAAAAAUUUACAAGUAAAUGAUGUGAAUAAUCGGUAUAUGAUACAAGUAAAGGAUACUUUGGAUUACAUUCAAUAUACAUGAUCAUAUCGAGAAUAAAUUUAAUUAAUAACUUCCAUAACCCCCCC